UUACAGAAGCUGCUAAAGAAUUUGGAUUUUUCCAGCUGAUUAAUCAUGGGGUUCCAGACAAUUUGCUGCAUAAUGUAAUGAAUGUGGGCAAGGAGUUCUUUGAGCUGCCUUCUGAAGACAAAGCAAGCUUGUAUUCUGAAGAUGCUAGGUAAAGUUGCAGAUUGUACACCAGCAUUGACUAUGUAAGGGAGCAGGUACAUUACUGGAGAGACACUUUGAGACACCCUUGUCAUCCUCUAGAGGAACACAUUGAUUUCUGGCCUCAAAAACCGGCUAAUUAUUGAGAGGUGUUUGGAAGUUACUCUGUGGAGGUGAGGAAGUUGAGUUUGUGUCUUCUGGAUCUUAUCUGUGAAGGGUUAGGGCUCAAAUCUAGAUUUUUUUAGGGUAAGCUCAACCAAGUCCAGUCGAUGGCUACAAAUUAUUAUCCACCAUGUCCAGACCCAAGCUUAACCUUGGGAUUGCCUAAACACAGUGAUGUGAACCUCAUAACUCUUCUUCUCCAAGAACAAGUUCAUGGGCUUCAAGUCUUGAAAGAUGAGCAAUGGCUUGCUGUUGAGCCCGUCCCCAAUGCAUUUGUGGUUAAUAUAGGCCACAUGUUA